UUAAAACAGUGGAGCAAGUAGGUCCAGGGCGCAUGUCUCUAAAUAAAGGCAGAAUCAAGAGCCAACGAUCCUCAGCUAUGGCAGAACAGUGAUCAGCAAGCUGGCAAGCAGAAAUAUACAAGAAGCUCAAACAUAUGCAAAAUAGAACACAGUUUAAAGGAUAGAACCGUGUUCAAUGGUGCUAAUAAAUAAGAAUAAGUUUGCAUAGGUCCACGACCUCUAUCAGUUUCGACUAUUAGUAAUGAAAGGGGCCUUUCGCCAAGUUUAUCCUAACUCCAAGCUUGAGGACAAGCUUUUUCUCUGGCAAGGGAGUAAUAUUAUGGGCUGAAUCUAUACUAAGUUUGUCUAGGUCCAAAACCCCUAUCAGUUUCGACUAUUAGUAAUGAAAGGGACCUAGUGCCAAGUUUAUCCUAACUCCAAGCUUGAGGACAAGCUUUUUCUCUGGCAAGGGAGUAAUAUUAUGGGCUGAAUCUAUACUAAGUUUGUCUAGGUCCAAAACCCCUAUCAGUUUCGACUAUUAGUAAUGAAAGGGACCUAGUGCCAAGUUUAUCCUAACUCCAAGCUUGAGGACAAGCUCUUUCUCUAGCAAGGGACUGAUCUUAUGGGCUGAAUCUACGUUAGGAAAGGCCAUUAAUUUUGAUUCUCUAAUUAAGGCUUAGGUUGCUAUUUUAUUUCUUUCCUUACAUUUUGUUGCGAUUUUAUUUCAAUUGAUUUAAUUCCUUUCUAGAAUAGGCUUCCUAUUUACAUAAUAAGACUUGUUAAAAGGGUAGAGAUGUAGUCAAUGGUGCUAAUACAUGAGAAUAAGUUUGUGUAGGUCCACAAACCCUAUCGGUUUUGACUAUUAGUAAUGAAAGGGACCUUUCGCCAAGUUUAUUGUAACUCUGAGCUUGAGGACAAGCUCUUUCUCUAGCAAGGGAGUAAAAUUAUGCGCCAAAUCUAUAAUAAGUUUGUUUAAGUCUACGACCCCUAUCGGUUUCAACUAUUAGUAAUGGAAGGGACCUUUUGCCAAAGUUUAUCCUAGCUCCGAGCUUGAGGACAAGCUCUUUCUCUAGUAAGGGAGUAAUAUUAUGAGCCGAAUCUAUAAUAAGUUUGUGUAGGUCCAUGACCCCUAUCGGUUUCGACUAUUAGUAACGAAAGGGACCUUUCACCAAGUUCAUCUUAACUCCAAGCUUGAGGACAAUCUUUUUCUCUAGCAAGGUAGUAAUAUUAUCAGCCGAAUCUAUGUUAGGAAAGGCUAUUACUUUUGAUUCUCUAAUUAAGGCUUAGGUUACUAUUUUUUUUCUUUCCUCAGGUUGCAAUUUUAUUUCAGUUGAUUUAAUUCCUUUCUAGAAUAGGCUUCCUAUUUACGCAAUAAGACUAGUCCUUAUUUAAGGGGUAAAGAUGUAUUCAAUGGUGCUAAUAAAAAAAUUUGUGUAGGUCCAUGAGCCCCAUUAGUCUCGACGAUUAGUAAUGAAAGGGACCUUUCGCCAAGUUUAUCCUAACUCCGAGCUUGAGGACAAGCUCUUUCUCUAGCAAGGGAGUAAUAUUAUGGGUUGAAUCUAUAAUAAGCUUGUAUGGGUCCACAACCCCUAUCGGUUUCAACUAUUAGCAAUGGAAGGGACCUUUCACCAUGUUUAUCCUUAACUCUGAGCCUGAGGAAAAGCUCUUUCUCUAGCAAGGGAGUAAUAUUAUGGGCUGAAUCUAUAACAAGUUUGUGUAGGUCCACGACCCAUAUCGGUUUUGACUUAAUGAGGGGACCUUUCUCCAAGUUUAUCCUAGCUCCGAGCUUGAGGACAAGCUCUUUCUCUAGCAAGGGAGUGAUAUUAUGGGCCGAAUCUAUAAUAAGUUUGGGUAGGUCCACAACACCUAUCGGUUUCAACUAUUAGUAAUGAAAAGGGCCUUUCGCCAAGUUUAUCCUAACUCCGAGAGCUUGAGGACAAGCUCUUUCUCUAGCAAGGGAGUAAUAUUAUGAGCCGAAUCUAUUAUAAGUUUGUGUAGGUCCACAACCGUUAUCGGUUUCGACUAUUAGUAACGAGGGGACCUUUCCCCAAGUUUAUCCUAACUCCAAGCUUGAGGACAAGUUCUUUCUCUAGCAAGGAGGUGACUUAUGGGCUGAAUCUAUGUUAGGAAAGGCCAUUAAUUUUGAUUCUCUCUCUUUGAUUAGCUAAACUAUCAAUUCAAACCUCAGACAUUACAUAUCCUUACUGUGUUUGUUUACUCUAGUUAACCCGAGUUAAACUAAUAGUGUGUAUUCAAUUGUAUUAUAGCUGCCUGCCUAAGAAAGGCAAAGCUACUUUUGACCUUCUUGUAUCGACAAACACCAAAAAGGAUAAAGAAGCCAUAUUUUUAGUUUGGCCCAAGAUGGUCAACUCGGAUGCCUCGUAUUUUACCAC
rnacentral:lncRNA from 1 species